UAAUUCGUUACACCUACAUUACUGAGCGCAAGGGAGUGCAGCCAACAAAUACAUUCAGGUGUGUUCGACUUAACACCGAGAUGCGCAGACAGCACGUGGUAUGACAUCAAAGUACCGCGAGAGUUUGGGAAAGCCCCGGAAAAGGUUUGAUCUCGCGGUACUUGAUGUCACGAUCGGUUUGCGUGUAGAUCAGCAUGAAGUAGAACACAUCUGAAAGAUGUGUGGGCUGCCUGCACUCAACGUUGCGAUAAUUCAGUAGAGUGUAACCUCAAUCGGUUUUUGCAGCUUCUGGGUGUCGUGUCGAACGAUCGCAGAACGAUUUUUUGUUCUUUUCCAACUCGAUUUUUAACUCCCUAGACUAGUAGGAUGUUCCAACGGGUGAAGCAACAGUGCUGACGGCAGAGUUUCAGUGUCAAUUUUUCAUGCCAUGCUCACUGGGGCGGAAACCAUUAUGACGUUGCCUUGGACAUCAAACUAAACCAUCUCAUUCUGGCUUUUUUCUAACAUCGAAAUCUCAGAAGGCCAGGACUAAGAUGGACGCAGCCUCCACAUGCAACCUUGCAUUUGAGGAACACCCAUAGAACGGUCAACUUACCCCAUACUCUAACCUGAAUGCAGGGAUCAUAAAACUUUAUCUUUUACCUUAAUUGUUAGAUGGGUGUUGAUACCAAACUUUUUUGUCUCGUCUACCCAGGAGAAAGUCAUGGGUUCUGCUGCUGAGGUUGUCAUAAAGCAUGCUUUUUCCAUUUGUUGCAUUGGGCAAUAUUAUCAAAAGAUUCUGAAAGAAAUAAGAUAAUUUUCAAAGCAUUAACAUGAAUAUGAAAGCAUUAAGUCAUUAAUGAUCAUCUUUUAUUAUUGUUUAUUUAUAGUGUCUUUUAUUCUGCUUACCUGACUCAUGCAGAAUUCUGGCUUGAUGUUUGGUCCACCUGUUAGCUGGCUCUGGUGCUUGGUAGUCUUCUCAAACCUCUGAAUCAAGGCCACCAUGAGAGGCCUUCUGAAGACCAUCAUUACGCUUCAGAUCCAGUUGUCUUAACUAUGAGCCUACCACAAUCCCUGUGCACCAGCUAUGGAAAGUGCAGACCAAACUUCUACCUCCACCUAUAGAACUGAACUGGAGUCUGUGAACUAAUGCUGUGUUCGAGACAACUGGAACAGCAAACAAAGUUGAGUAUCCGACCUCUCAACUUGUGACUGAUCGAUCAGCACCAACCUCAACGAGAUGCAUCAUUUGACAUUGCAGACAAAUCCUUUCUCUUUUUAAUGCAGCACUUAAGGAUGAACCACCCUGAUCUACUAAGAUGCACAGAUUCAACUCUGGCCCAGCAUCAUCCCCACACCUCAUCUGCCAUCAGUUUAAUUUAAUGUCUGUCAAUUGCAAAUGCUAUUUAUUUCAGUUAUAUUACAACUUAAUGUUAACUUUAAUUGAGACUAGUAUUGUGUAAAGCUGGGGUUUCCAAACUUUUCAUUUCAAAACCUAUUAGACAAGUGUAAUCUAUUCUAGACCCACUAAAAUAUUUUUACAUAUACAUUUUUUUAAUGGGGUAAAACACAUUUGUUCUCUUUCAGUGGAGUCAUUUUAUUUUCAUAAUAUUUCAUAAUGUAAAGCAGUGGUUCUUAACGUUAUUCCUCGAGGCCCACUGCUCUGCACAUUUUGUAUGUCUCUUUUAUCUGACAGACUCAGUUCAGUUCAUUGAGAUCUCUUCUAAUGAGCUGAUGAUUUGAAUCAG